rnacentral:rRNA from 1 species
AGAGUUUGAUCCUGGCUCAGAACGAACGCUGGCGGCAGGCCUAACACAUGCAAGUCGAACGAGAAGCCGGAGCUUGCUCUGGUGGACAGUGGCAGACGGGUGAGUAACGCGUGGGAAUUUGCCUAGUGGUACGGAAUAACGCAGGGAAACUUGUGCUAAUGCCGUAUACGCCCUUCGGGGGAAAGAUUUAUCGCCAUUAGAUAAGCCCGCGUCGGAUUAGCUUGUUGGUGGGGUAAAAGCCUACCAAGGCGACGAUCCGUAGCUGGUCUGAGAGGAUGAUCAGCCACACUGGGACUGAGACACGGCCCAGACUCCUACGGGAGGCAGCAGUGGGGAAUAUUGCACAAUGGGCGCAAGCCUGAUGCAGCCAUGCCGCGUGAGUGAAGAAGGCCUUAGGGUUGUAAAGCUCUUUCAGUGGUGAAGAUAAUGACGGUAGCCACAGAAGAAGCCCCGGCCAACUCCGUGCCAGCAGCCGCGGUAAUACGGAGGGGGCUAGCGUUGUUCGGAUUUACUGGGCGUAAAGCGCGCGUAGGCGG